rnacentral:tRNA from 1 species
GAGGAUGUAGUUCAGUGGUAGAACACAUGCCUAGCAUGCACGAGGUCCUAGGUUCAGUCCCUAGUACCUCCA